UACGUAGGGUGCAAGCGUUGUCCGGAAUUAUUGGGCGUAAAGAGCUCGUAGGCGGUUUGUCGCGUCGAAUGUGAAAACCCGGGGCUCAACCCCGGGCCUGCAUUCGAUACGGGCAGACUAGAGUUCGGUAGGGGAGUCUGGAAUUCCUGGUGUAGCGGUGAAAUGCGUAGAUAUCGGGAGGAACACCGGUGGCGAAGGCGGCCCCCUGGUUGGAUACUGACGCUGAGACGCGAAAGCGUGGGGAGCAAACAGG
rnacentral:rRNA from 1 species